UACAGAGGGGGCAAGCGUUGUUCGGAAUUACUGGGCGUAAAGGGCGCGUAGGCGGCCUUCUAAGUCGAACGUGAAAUCCCCGGGCUCAACCCGGGAACUGCGUCCGAUACUGGAAGGCUUGAAUCCGGGAGAGGGAUGCGGAAUUCCAGGUGUAGCGGUGAAAUGCGUAGAUAUCUGGAGGAACACCGGUGGUGAAGGCGGGACUCUGGGCCGAUACUGACGCUGAGGAGCGAAAGCGUGGGGAGCGAACAGG
rnacentral:rRNA from 1 species